UAUCUUAUUUUGAAAAAGGACCGGAUACACCCGUGUGUACGUCUGAGCCGCGUUUAGGAGUCUUAAAGUUCGGGUUUAUCGCUGCAGGCGAGUCUCACGCGUCGAACCCUCUGCUGGCGGCACAGUGACACAGAAUCUUAAAACAUAUUCAACCUGCUCAAUGAAUUCUGUCACUUCAGGGAAAUGACAACUGUUUUCAAGUUGGCCGAUAAAGUCGCUGCUGUGUGGGCGAGUGAACAGCGGAAUAUUCUAUAUGUUUCAGACGUUGACCGGGUGGAAGAGGCUUUUAAAAGAGUUUGAGCGGUACUCCAACCACAAAAGACCCGACUGCAAAAGAAUAGACCUGCAACCCAUUUGUAAACAAACCCACCCGGUGAAUCGAGCCCGUCCGAGCUAGAAAUAAAUGUGUUCGAGAUGCAAAUGACGGUGGCCUGAAGGGACAUUUCACACAACAACUCUGCCGGUGUUCUAAUGACAGCGACCAGAACUCGGUUAGGAGCAGCGGACCAAACACACGUCUGUGUCGCCGUCUCCAUAAGCGGCUCGUUGCAGGCAUAUAGCAUGCAGACAUACUGACAGUGUGAUGGAGACUGGACGAAAGGUAACUUUUCUGAUGAACCUUGGAGUCAUCUUAAAAGCAUCUUGGCAGCUUCAUACUGUGCAGAGUACGAUGUUCAAAACACCUUUUCAUACCUAAUCAUACCUGUAAUGUUGAAUGAGUGUUGUUGUAUGGCAUCAAUAUAUAUUAUUUAUUCUGCAUGCAAUGCAUUGCUUCUAUUGCACUGAAAGGAAGUUUGACACUGUAAAUUACUUUUCUAAAAAUGUAUACCUUCUUGGCGAGCGUUUUCUGUCUUAUGUAUUCACUGGAGUCCUGGAAGCUUUUG